CACCUCCAAAACCUAAAAAUCUACAAAACCCUCAAAUUGAAGGCCAAAAUUCAGUUGAAAUCGAAAUCUAAACAUAGAAUCGUGAUCUCCUCGUCAAGAAGGUCAUAAGGCAAGGAAUCCGGGACGUCAAGUGGACACGCCGGAGGUGAUACCCGCGGAAAAGGUGUGCUUUGAAGUGUAAAGGAUGCGUUUGAUGUGUACAAAUAAAUCUCUCUCGGAUGAUGAUCAAGCACCUUGUCAAGAACCGAACACGCAAAUUGAAGCUUCCGCAUGAAUAUAAUUUUGUCUAAACUUUAAACAUGUCAUAAAUACUUUUGGUUGAUGGUGCUUUGAAUCCUUUAGCUAGUUGUUAG
rnacentral:lncRNA from 1 species